CCUACGGGUGGCAGCAGUGGGGAAUAUUGCACAAUGGGGGAAACCCUGAUGCAGCGAAGUCGCGUGAGUGAAGAAGUAUCUCGGUAUGUAAAGCUCUAUCAGCAGGGAAGCAAAGGACGGUACCUGACGAAGAAGCCCCGGCUAACUACGUGCCAGCAGCCGCUGUAAUAAGUAGGGGGGAAGCGUUAAUAGGAUUUAAUGGGUGUAAAGGGAGCGUAGACGGUUAUGCAAGUCUGAAGUGAAAGCCCAAGGCUCAACCAUGGGACUGCUUUGGAAACUGUAAAACUGGAGUGCAGGAGAGGUAAGCGGAAUGCGUGGUGUAGCGGUGAAAUGCGUAGAUAUUAGGAGGAACACCAGUGGCGAAGGCGGCUUACUGGACUGUAACUGACGUUGAGGCUCGAAGGCGUGGGGAGCAAACAGGAUUAGAUACCCUUGUAGUC
rnacentral:rRNA from 1 species